AGGACCAGGAAGGGAUGGAGAUGUCUGUCAUACACCAGCGGGAUGACAAGAGUUGCGUGGAAACUGACGAGGUGAGACGCUGACAGAUGUUCUGUUUGACAGAGGAGGAGCCAGGUCCAUCAAGCGACCCAUAAAUGCUGGCAGACUUUGAUGGUUUACACAACAAAGUGUUGAGAAAUUCUACUGAGCUUUAAUCUGUAACUGAACUGUUUAUCAGGGACGCAGCUGCAGCUUCUUUGCUUUUCUGAUUCAUACUGACCUUUUUAAUAUUAUAGUUUUAUAUUUUCUGUGUUCAGCCUUCAGAGUUCUGUUGAAGUUAAUCUGAUGCUGUAAAUAAAUGUUGACAUUAGGAGGAUGGUGGGGAGGCCAAGAAUGAGUUCUCCUGAUGCUCCUUAAACUAAACUACCCUGAAAGGACCAGGUCUGAAGGACGGAGAGAUUCAGAGACUGAAAAGAUGGAACUCUGCUCUGAGCACUGAGGAGAGCUUCCUGUUGCAGAAACUCCUGUCUGUGAAACCAGCUGUUUAAUGUUGACCUGAAGAAAAAAAGAGAACUUCACCUUCCUGUUUGCUCUGUUGUGUUUGACUUUGUAUCAACCUGUUAAUCAG